rnacentral:lncRNA from 1 species
UAUAAACCGAUAUUGAGCUGAAAUUAAACCUAAACCCAAAAAGUCAUUAAUAAUUUAUGCUUAGCUUGAUCAAAGCGUUCAUAUGUAAUGUACGAUUCGAUCAGCAACCUGUAUUAAUUAAGUUAAUAUAACCCACCUCCAUUAUUCCUUCAUCUAUCAUCACCCUCUCCAUUAUUCCUUCAACCCAGCUAUAAUCACCUUCUCCAACAUUUAUAGAUUAAAAAGUGUCGGUUGCUGUAGAAGAGCCACGCUAAUCAUAUUGGUGAUCAGAGCAACAGCUUGAAAGGUGACCUGUAUUAAUUGUUUAUUUUGAAGUAUCUUCUUCCUCUUUUGCUGAACUUCAUCCAUUAACAAUCUCUACACAACCACAUUAACGCUCCCGUCUGCCGCUAAUAUCACCGAUAGAUACUUUCUCUUUCACUACGCAGUUUGUUCCCUUUAUCAUAUAUCUUGCUGCAGGUGCUCAGUAAAGGAGAUACCUUUAUGAGAGGAUCUGGAUUCGACGUAAUUAGGCCCCACCCAAUUAACACCGCCAGAGGUAAUAAAUGAAAGCUCAUGAAAUCAUGGAAACUGUUCAGGCCAGGUUCAGUAAGGGAUCAAAAACCCUAAAGCUUUCAUUGUUUUCAUCCAACGUGUCACAACUAACAAGGGUGACCAGGUCGAUCGAUAGGCAAACUUGUACAUAUCUCUAAGGUUGGAUUUUUUUUCCCAUUUAGACAUGUAGAAGUAUUGAUCGGUUGCUCUAGAUUUUUCCAAAAAUCUUAUUUGUUUAUGAAUUAUAUUUUAAUUUUAUAUAUCUAAAACAAAAUGGAACUUUUUAUUUAUAAAUAGAGUAUAUAUAAUAUUGAUAAUUAAUAUUUUAUUAUUAUGAUUUUUGAAAGUAAGAUAAUAUUUUAUAUCAUUUUUUUUAAGUCACAAAAAUAAGAAAUUNNNNNNNNNNNNNNNNNNNNNNNNNNNNNNNNNNNNNNNNNNNNNNNNNNNNNNNNNNNNNNNNNNNNNNNNNNNNNNNNNNNNNNNNNNNNNNNNNNNNNNNNNNNNNNNNNNNNNNNNNNNNNNNNNNNNNNNNNNNNNNNNNNNNNNNNNNCUAAGUCAUUAAGAGCAUUAUCGUAAUCAUACAAAUUUCAUUUAAUGUUUAAUUUUUUGUGUUAUUAGAAAUAUUAAUAGAAAUGUCUAAAACAUUACAUAAUUAAUCAAAUUUUCGGAUCUUUUAAAAAAUAGUAUUUUUCAAUUUUUUUAAAAAGUGCAUAUUUUUAAAUUUUUAUAGAAAACAUGAAUUUAUGAAAAAAUAUUUAUUUUUAAAAAAUUGGAAUUUUUUUAAAAACUUUUAAAAAUCAAUAAAAUAAAAUAAUAAAAAAACUUGAAUAUUUAAAAAAUACUAUAAUUUUUUAACCAAAAAAAAUCAAUAUUUUAGGUACAUAUAUACAUAUUUUUACAAAUGUAUAUAUGCAUAUUUCAUAUACUAUAAUAUUUGUAAGGAAAUCAUAAGAAAACUCAUUUUAUUUACUAAGCUAUAAGUAGAAUAAGUAUUUUAUUUGAUAUAAAAUAAAAUAUAAAAAACAAAAAAAUAAAAAGCAUUUUCAUGUCUUCGUGUCAAUAUUUUCAUCUUUUCUUCAAUGUAUUAUUUUUCACCUAUUCAAUAUUCACAACAAUUUCUUCCAAAUCUACAAGAAAAUUUAAAAAAAAAAUGAUUAAUUCAAAAACACUCACAAAAAUACACAUGUUAUUCAUAAGUGAAUUAUAUGUGAUUUACAUAUGAAUCACAUGUAAUUCAUAUGUGAAUUAAAUGUGAAUCACAUGUGAAUUACAUGUUAAUCAUAUGUGAUUUACAUAUAAAUCACAUCAAAUUACAACGUUGAACUUUUUAUAAAUUUAGAUAAGUAAAAAAGAAACAACCAUAGUUGUCUAAAUUUAGCUGCUGAACUUCUUAAGCCCAUUAAGUAAAAAAGAAAACUACUCAUGAGUUGUAUUAAGAAAGAAAAUAGAGAUCAAAGAUUCAAAUCUACUUUCAAAGUUAUAAACCAAUUUUAAAUAAGAUAUUAUAAGCCAAGAGAAUAAAACAUGACUCACCAUAAAAUAAAGGUAAAAAAAAUCGAUGAACAAUCCAUGUCUAGAAACAGAGACUAACCUCAUGAACAUAUUUAUUCUCAUCCAUGUUAAGUAAAUCAUGGCACAUAGCAUCAAAUCUCCAUUCAUUAAUAACAAGAGCAAUCUAGAAAAAAAAAAUAAGAAAAAUUAAUAACAACAAAUUUGCAAUAGGAAUAUAUAAUAAUGUAUGAAGUAUGAACCUGGUCGAUUUCUCUAUCUAGAAUGAGCAACUCGCAGGUUUCUGUUUGAGGAAAGUUGAAGUUUUUGAGAACUUUAUAUUUCAUAAGACAAUCCCAAACUGCUGCAACAAUAAUUCAUACGGGUUGUUUUAUUGACAAUUUCCACGUUAUGUAUCAAGAAAAAAAUCCAUGCUUAUUGUUUUACUGAUUUGAGAAACUAAUUAGGUGCAAGAACUCGGUGAUGAACUUGAUGCAACAAAAAGCACUAGUUUUCUUUGUGCAGCAACUAUCAAAAACUUUGAACGGAUAGAUUAGAUUUGAGUAAACACACAAAAAAAUAUUAUUUUAUUUGUUUGGAAAACUGGAUUACCUAAAUACCAAAUUUAUGGUUCAAACCAUUUAAGCUAUUCAGAUUGGUUAAUCUGGGUAACUAGAUUUUGAUUGGGAUAUCCAACAAUUUCAUAACAUAUAAAUUGAUUUUUUUCUGUAGUAUUUACUUGCUCGAGUUUCUGAUGUGGCCGAUUCUAUAUAAAAAAACUACAAUCUAAUCAUUUGACAAGACCAUGCAUUGCUAGACCAUUGAUCAUGGCAUUCCAAACAGAAACAUGAUGGUGUUUUACACUUUCCAAAAUUGCUUUUGAUGUUUCAAUUCUACCACAUUUUGAGUACAUGUCUACAAGUGCAGAACUCAUAAUAAAAUUGAGUUCGAUUCUUUUUUCGGUUAGCAAACCAUGUAUCCAUUUAGCUUGGUCUAAAAUUUAAACACAUAUAGGGUUUGAAAUUACCUCCUUAAAGUGUAAUUCAACAAGACGAAGGUUGGAUGGGGGAAAACCAACGGAUUUUCAGCCACUAGGGUUACUGCCAACAAAGUGCCGCCACAACUCCAUCUUGUUUCACAGAGCUUCUUUCUUCUUGUUUCUCCUAAUUACACAGUAACGAAACUAACGACUAGACAGCAGUACGUUAAAAACUCGGUAUACUCGAUCACUUAUCACUCUACUUUAGAACAGAGUUAGCUUUGAUGCAUCGACGCUGCUAGGUUCGAUUUUAAGGCAUGUGAGUUCGAUUUUAAUGCGUGUGAGUUUGAUUUUAAAUCACACAAUUACUAUAGGGAAAUAUGCAUAAAAAUCCCUAUAUUUUGGCUCUAUUGACAAAAAAAUCACCUCUAAUUAUUUUUGCAAUUUAACCGGCUAUUACAUGCAAUUUGGCUCAAUUUUUAAGUUACCGCAAACAAUAGCAUGUUUCAUUGGUUAAAAUGUAAAUAAAAUAUCAAGGGUGACUUUUUUUUUUCAAUAUGUCAAAAUAUUGGUAUUUUUUUUUUAAUGAAUAAUAAUUGUUAAANNNNNNNNNNNNNNNNNNNNNNNNNNNNNNNNNNNNNNNNNNAAAAAUUAAGAUUAAGAGGGUGUUUGAGAUUUUAUUUUGAACAUCAAAAGGACUUUUAGCUAAAAUGAUUUAUUGACUUAUGAUGAUGAGAAAUUGAGUUUUUUAAAAAUUAUUUGGAUUAACUUUUGUGAUGGAAAAAAUCAAUAAGACGAUAAUUUGUUUUUUAAAAAGUGUUUGUCUUAAACAUACAUGUUUCAUAGGUUAUUUAACUUUUAUAACCCAAAAAGUUAUAAGGAGUUUUGAAAAGUUAGAAAUCUUAUUGAAAUCUUUUUUUCAACUCUAAAUUAUAAUAUAUUUUUAUUAAAACAACCAUUACAAUUUGUUUUAUUUAUAAUAUGUGAUAAUAAAUACAUAAAUUUUUUAAAUUAUACUUCUAUUUUAAUAAAGCAUAAAAAACGAUUAAAAUAUAAGAAUAUAUUGUUAUGGAAUGUAUCUGUUACCUUUUGACGAUGGAACAAAAUCAAAUUUUGAUACGAAAUAUAUAUUUACAUACCAAGUACUUGAUUGAAAACAGUACGUUAAUUCAUCCAUAGAUCGAUAGAGAAGAUGAAAAACAAUAUUGCACGCAUAACAUAGAAGUUCUAUUCUUGCAAUAACUCAGCAAUAAAUAUUCUUUAUUUACAUAUAGAAUAUAUUCCAAUAUACCAUGUUGAUAUCAAUAUGCCUACAAUUUUAAAAAUCCGAACAACAAAGAUUAUACGAUCUUCUUUCUCUCUUAGAUUUCAUAAUGGUUAUCCAUGUCAAUGGUGGUUUCAUAAUUGCUUAAAAACCUAUUUAUGCAAUUGGCAAAAAAAAAAUUAUUUGCAGAUCAACUUUAUUUUAAUCAUAUUUUUGAUAAAUAUGAACCCACAUGAAGAUUUUUCAACCAAGUACUUUGUAUGUAGAUUUAUUUCCUAUCAAAUUUUUAUUUAGUUUCAUCAUCAAAAACUGAUGAUAUAUUUCAUAACAAAUAUAUUUUUAUAUUUUAAUUGGUUUUUAUAUUUUAGUAAAUAGAAGUAUAAUUAAAAAAUGUAUUUAUUUAUUAUCAUAUAUUAAAAAUCAAACAAAUUGUAAUGGUUGUUUCAACAAAAAUAGACUGUAAUUUAAUCUUAAAAUAGAUAAUACUUUAUGUUAAAAUUAUUAUGCAUUGAAAAAAAAAUUACUUAUAUUUUGGUCUAUUGACAAAAAAACCAUUUUUGAUAUUUUGUUUACGAUUUAACUUUCGAAAUCUGUUAUUGUUUUGGAUGUCUUGAAAAUUAAGUCAAAGUGCAAUUAAUACCAAUACAGUGGUUUACUAGCAAAAAAUAAUCAAAAAUAACUUUUUUAACAAUAGAAUCAAAAUAUAAAAAAAUAGGGUAAAUUACACCAAUCGUCCCUCGUGCAGGUGCUGAAAAGCGCGUUUAGUCCUUAUUUUCAAAAAUUAACUCGGAUCGUCCCUCAUUUGUCUAAAACUUGCACGCUUCGUCCCUUAUACACAUUUUUGUUGCAAUAUUAGUCAUUUCCAUAUCUGAAAUGACCAUAAUGCCCUUUAUGUUUAUAUUUUCCAAUUAAUUUUAUGUUAUUAUCAUUAUUAUUAAUUAAGAAAGAAAAAAAAACAUGUGGUCCCACUUCAUGCCAAAUCACAUCUCUCCACCCACCUACCUUCCCUUUAUUGUCUCUCUUCUCCAAACUCUUCAAAAACCCUAAUGCCCUUUAAGCCACCGUCAGUGGAUACCACCGUCGUUUUACACUCCGACCACAUUCAUGGAAUGCACCGCCGUUUUACACACAUCACACUCCAGCCACCAUCUUUUCCGACAUAAGUGGUUUUGAAUCGUCUAAAAUCGAUGCCUCCAUCUGUGAUUCAGUCUUCGAUCUCCGAUAUCCCUCAGCUAGGGCUUCGUCACAUGUACCCUGCCAUCUGCGUCGGCUAGGGUUUCGAUAGAUGUCAUAAAGCUCUAUGCAUUUCGACAUAUUUAUAGAGAUCGAUCUCUGCCUCCAUCGUGACUGUGAUAUAGAGACCAACGAGCUCCACAUUUGAAGUCGAUGUCAAUGUAAGCGUGGUGGUUGGAUGAUUUCAGGUGUAAGGUGGAGAAGGCGAUGAACAGUGUAGGUUUCACCUGCACCUCCUCUUAAUUGAUCAUAGGAGUAUGGUUUUAUGUCCCCCAACCUUCGACCCUAUAUCUCUCAAUCAUAGAUUCCUCUUCAAAUUUCUUUUUUUUUCNNNNNNNNNNNNNNNNNNNNNNNNNNNNNNNNNNNNNNNNNNNNNNNNNNNNNNNNNNNNNNNNNNNNNNNNNNNNNNNNNNNNNNNNNNNNNNNNNNNNNNNNNNNNNNNNNNNNNNNNNNNNNNNNNNNNNNNNNNNNNNNNNNNNNNNNNNNNNNNNNNNNNNNNNNNNNNNNNNNNNNNNNNNNNNNNNNNNNNNNNNNNNNNNNNNNNNNNNNNNNNNNNNNNNNNNNNNNNNNNNNNNNNNNNNNNNNNNNNNNNNNNNNNNNNNNNNNNNNNNNNNNNNNNNNNNNNNNNNNNNNNNNNNNNNNNNNNNNNNNNNNNNNNNNNNNNNNNNNNNNNNNNNNNNNNNNNNNNNNNNNNNNNNNAAAAAAAAAAAAAAAAAAAAAAAAAAAAAAAAAAAAAAAAAAAAAAAAAAAAAAAAAAAAGGGCAAGAUAGUCAUUUACGUCUGCGAGGGACGUAACGUGCACCUUUUAAUGAUACGAGGGACGGUCCGAGUUAAUUUUUGAAAAUAAGGACUAAACACGCUUUUUGGCAUGCACACGAGGAACUAAUGGUGUAAUUUACCCAAAAAAAUAAGAAAAACAUAUGGAUAAUAUAAAACUUUACAAAACUAGUCUUGAGACAUUUAAAAAUCAUAAGUUGAAACCAUCAGCACUGAUGUCAUGGUAUUGGCCUCUGACCAGAGCCACCAAAUCUACUUUUUCUACUUUUUUGACCCAUUCGUGCAUCCACUCCUUUGAAAGUCCCACUAAAAACUUCCAUUUUCAACAUUUGCACUGUUCUCUUCGUAUAGAAAGAAGCAGUACUUCUGUCAGCCUAUAUAAACCCCCUCUCUUGAAAUUCCACCAAACACUAACUUAUCAACCGAAAAACAUCGUAUCUCUUCAAAGAUUCUCAUUCAGUAAUAACAGAAAAUCCAAGUUUCAUGGACUCUUCAUUCUUUUCUGAUCAUACUUCAAACGAAUACCUUCCCUUUAAUGAAAACGAUUCCCAGGAGAUGGUUCUCUUUGGAAUGCUGGCAGAGUCGUCUUAUGAUCACCAGACAACAUCUUCUGCAGCUGACAAGAUUAGCUACAGAGGGGUACGUGCGCGGAGAUGGGGCAAAUAUGCAGCAGAAAUAAGAGAUUCCACAAGGAAUGGGGCUAGGGUUUGGUUGGGGACGUUUGAUACAGCUGAGGAGGCUGCUUUAGCAUAUGAUCAAGCAGCAUUUGCCGCUAGGGGUUCAAUGGCAGUUCUUAACUUUCCUGUAGAGACGGUUUACGAGUCGCUUAGAGCAAUGGAUUAUAGGUUUGAGGAAGGGGGAUCUCCUGUGUUGGCAUUGAAAAGGAGUCACUCCAUCAGAAGGAAAGCUAUAAUCAGAGAGAAGAAGAGGAAAGAGAUGAAGUUAGAUGAAGAUCGUAAGAAUGUGGUGGUGUUUGAGGACCUGGGUGCUGAUUACUUGGAGGAGAUUUUGAGUUUGUCAGAAAGCUCUGGUUCUUGGUAAAACAAAGGACGAUAGAUACAAUUAAAGAUUGGAAGUUCAAGCUUAAGCUCAGUGUGAGUGAGUGUCUGUAGGCUAGUCUUUUUUUUUUUUUUUUUUUGCCAAUCGACUUUUUGAUAUUAUGUAAAGAUGAAAGUGAUGGACGAGAGUCCAGGGGAAUCGUAUCACGAAAUUUAAUGUGUAAAUUAAUUACGAUUUUAUAACAUCCUCUCUAAAUUUCAACUCUAUUUUAAUACAACAUAUAAAUUAAAACGACAGUUUAAUAAAAAAGGAAAAAACUAAGACAUGCAGUAGUUUAUACUAGUUUUUCGCAGAAAACAUAAAAAGAAAUAUACAUUGUGCGAUGCAAAAAUAAUAAAAUGUAUGAUUUAAACUGUGAGAAAUAAGUUACAUUGUAGUAUAAUGUUUUCUACAAUAAUAUUUGUUGUUGACGUUGUAUAUUUUUAAUUUAUUAAUAAAAUGUCUACAGAAAGGAAAAAUGUGGUUUAUCAAGUAAACAAUUCAAUUUAUUAAAACGGAUUCAUGAAAUAAGUAAAUUAUAAAAGCUAUAAUAUAAUUAUUAGAUUUAACUAACUAAAAAUUUCAUAUAAAAAAAAUAGAAUAAAUAAAAUUAUGAAUUAACUUAUAGAGCCAACGGCCAAGUGCCUGCCUUCUUCUCAUUACAUUACCAUAAAAAGAAACUCCCCGUUGCGAUACAAGGGCAUGUUUACUAGUUGCCUUAAAAAAACAGAGAAAAAAAUCAAGUAGGCUACUAAACAUAUGGAGGGAUAAAAAUAUAAAAAGAAACAUGGUUUUGUAAUUUGUAAAUCACUUUUCUAGUCAUCAAUCAAUCAAAGACGUUUAACAAAAAGAAAUAAAGAAAACGAGACGGUGAUAGUAAAUUGUACCUUUGAGGAAUGAACACGAAACAGAGACCGGCAAGACCUCAAGAGGUGCAAUCAGAUAUACGAUCAUGGGGAACGGAAAGUGGCGCUUUUUGGUGGACACAUAGCCGGCAUCAUGUUUAUAAAGAAAACAUUGUUUUAUAAUUAACCAGCCACAAAAUUGCAAAAAUGAUCCCUAUGAUUGGCAAAUUUAUGCGAUUUUGGAUCAAAACAAAACCUUGGUGUAUCACUUCUCCAAAAUUUGAUAUUUUUAUUGUUUUUGGUCCCUCACACUAACUUCCAUCCAUAUGUCCGAUUACCUGCAAUAUAGACGAGGUUAUUUUCGUCUUACUACCUCUAUGUCAUCGAUUACUGCCAUAUUAAAGGAUAUACACAGUUAGAGUUAAUGACCAUUCACUCUUUACCCACUAAACCCAUUUUCUUGAUCAAAAAACCUUAAUCGUUCAAACUCUUGCAUUUGAUCAUCAACUUCAAUCAUAAGUUCAAUUGCACAAGUAUGCUCUACAUAUGAGAAAUCAACCAAGAAAUCAGUGUUUUGAUGCAAUCCAGAUUUACGGUGACGUACUCUGUUUCUUAUAUAUUUCUUCGAAACAAUAAAAAGCUUUUACAAUCAGUAUAAAGUAAUGUUUUUUUGGUUUGGCUCAUGAUUUUUUACAUAAGGAUAUCCCACGAUGAUCACUAUUGAGCUCCAUCACGGAGGGAGGUUCACAAAAUUCUCAUGGAUAAGCUACAUUGAAGGAAAAUUAGACCACGUGGACCUAGUAGACAUGGAUGAGUUCUUUGUGGAUGAGUUGGACGAGGUGAUGCUAAAGCUUGGUUAUUGUAUCAACUCAUAAUAACAACAUGCAGUUCUAUCAACUCAUAACACAAAAUUCUGAGCAAAUCUCUAGCACUAAACUAGCAUGCCGUUCUAUAAACUCACAAUAACAACACAUAAUCAAGUAAGGGUAUUUUGGGAAAUCACUGCUCGGGGCUCUGGCUGAUUUUACACACCGGUUCACCUUGUUUCCUCUUGAAAUCUGUUUGCUCAUUUAGAAAAUCAUUUCUUUUUUUUUUUUGAAAAAUUUCUCAAAUCCUCAGUCUGAGUCCAGACAUACCCGAGGGUACAUCCAGAUCCCUCAAACCAAGGCUCUUAUACCAAAUUGUAACGCCUCAAAAUUCAAGAAAAAAUUUUCAUUUCUAAUUCUCAAAAUAUUACUCAUAAAUUCCAGUCAUCACAGAAAUUAUAAGUUAUUAUUAAGCAAUAUCAGAGCAUCCCGAUAUUCUCAAAUCUCCAUAAGUCGAAGGAUGUGUACAAUCGUGUCUUCGCCAUCCCGGAAUCUACAAGAGUACUUGAAACACAUUUAACUCAACACGGUAAGCACGAAGCUUACGCCUUGUUUCCAAGUUCUACUUAAGGAGAUAAAUGGGAAAAUACGGAGGGAAAGUGAGGGGUGUUGAAGGAAAUCGUGUUCCCGAGUUUCAUUAACGGAAGGAAAGUAAGGGGAGGGAAAGGAUUUUGGAGCCAUAUUUUCCUUCCAAAUUUUCCUCCCAAAUUGGGCGGAUUUGGGAAGAAAGUGAGGGGAAGGUAAAUUUUAAGUUUUAUUUUCCUUUUCCUCCUAAUUCGGGAACACAAAAACUUAAAAUUUUCCUUUCAUUUUCUUCGAACUUGGGAACACGGAAUAAUGAAUAUUUUCCUUCACCUCCCUUUCUUUCUGUCAAAAUUUUCCUUCCCUUUCUUUUAAUUAAUUUACAAAAAAAAACUCGGGAACAAAGCAAUAGUGAGUUCCCCAAAAUACCACACACAAAUAAUUAGCCUCUCAUGGCUAUAUCUCGAUAAGGACCCUCUGGUCAUGUGUCUCAGUGAAGACCCUCCGGUCUCACGACUCAAGUUGGACCCUCCAGUCCUAUAUCUCAGUGAAGACCCUCCAGUCUCUCAACUCGGUUUGGACCCCCUGGUCCUAUCUCAAUAAAUACACAGAAUAAUAUACAACAAAAAUCACAAAGACAUAAUGCAUAAUAUCACAUAUCUCAGUAUAAGCACAUAAGACCCUUCGGUCAAUAACACAGAUAAGACCCUCCGGUCGCACAGUAAUUACCACUCAUGUAAGUAUAGCGAGAAAACUCACCUCAACUACUACACGAGAAACCCUACACUGUCGUUGCUAUUGCGCACUGACUCCUAACCUGGGUCAAAACAACCCAAAACUAUAAUCAAAGACUAUACAAGGCUACACCCCAACACUAUGCCCCAUAGAUGGCCCAACUAAACAGGCCCACUACUGACCCAACUCAUUGGGCCCACCAAGGCCCAAGACCAAAAAGGUCCAUUAAUGGCCCAAUUUUCCAAAUUGGGCCUAAACCCUUACUUGGGCCUUACCCUAAAGCCCACGACUUAACUCUAAUCUAAAACACCCUUUCUCAGAUGGCUCAACCAAUUACCAGCAAUUGGCCCCAAGAAGACAUCCUAAACCGAAGCCCAAAUAUGCAAACCCACUCAGAAAGAGUAUGCAGGGCGUACUCAGUGGUACGUUGCGCGUACUCACUUAAUGGCUUGUACGCCCAACGUACUUCCCUCUGAAAACCCACUUUUACAUUAAGCACUUAAUCCUUUAACCCAUAAGUCCAAAUUACAAAUACGAGUCCCAAAUAACAUUUAAACCCAUAAAGUCACUGGCUUGGUGACUUUGCAUGCCCCAAAUAAGCCCAAACUCCAAAAACGGCAUUCUACUUCCAUGAAAAUGGUCUUAACUCUUGCAUGAACCCAUUAAGACUUCCAAGAUGACAAAUUAAUGAUUCUAGGUCCCAAAUAACACUAAGAGGGGCAACUCUAAGCUUCAAAAACGACAUGGACUCAAGGGAAUUCAUCAAUGGGACCAAUAGAGUCCAUAAACUCAACCCAAAAGAGAUCUAAGAAAAUAACCACCAAGUUUGAGACUUUAUACCACAAAUGUGAGCCAAAGGCUAAUGAGGUUCUAGAUCUAAAAGCUCUAGCUUCUUCAAUGAAUCUUCAAGAGUGAGCACCUUCUUUAAAAUCACCAAAACACACUUCUAAUGGUCUUCUAAGCUGCAAGAACACACAAGAAGGAUUAGGGUUUCGUGAACGUUGUCCAAGGGUGACAGGGAGGGUGAUCUGUAAGGCAUUAUGUUGUUUAUAUAGUCUUCAUCCCUAAAAUUAAGGUUUUUCAUUCUGAUCCUUGUACACGUACCUUCUUGUACGCCCCGCGUACGAGGCCGCGCACCCCGACCCAAACCUCGCACCUACGUUGCGCGUUCUUCCCAGAUACGCCUCGCAUAGACCUUUUCUCCUUGGUACGCUCUGCGUAUCACUCUGUAUGCCCCGCGUACUAAGGUUUUCUCCCAAACCAUAACUCUUCCGAAUGUCAUAACUCACUCGAUACAACUCCGAUCUCGACCAUCCGUAUAUCCAUAGAAAAGGCAUCGAGACGCUUAACACUAUUAUCAAUUCAUACUUGCCAUCAGAUAUCCCAAAUCUGAAAUCAAUUUCCCAAAAAGCCCGAUUGACAAAUUAUCGAAAUACCCUUUUUUCUCCAAGUCACAACCAAAUACCCAAAACAUCCAAUAUAGCAUCCACCUCUAAAUUAACCCAAUAAAUGACUUCUUCAAGGAUUCUAACCCUGCUAAUACCCAAACCUUGAUCACCAUUUCGAAAUGAAAACGUCUUGAAAACAGGAUGUUACAACUCUCCCCCACUUAAAUUAGAUUUCGCCCUCGAAAUCUCUCCUUGCUAACACUAAGAUCAUCCCAAACAACCUGAGAAGCGCAACAGAAAAAUCAGAACGUAACAUGACCUCCCCAAGACAACCGAAUCCAACAGAAACCUCCAACCCAAAGAAGAAUGAACCUCAAUACUCUGCCCUUAGGCACUAAAAGAAUGACCUGCCGAUCCGCAUGAAAAUCGAAACUCUACACUAGGUCUGACCUCCCUUCAGACAAAACCAUUCUACUACCAAUCCCAUGACGAUGACCCCGAACUGAAUGAUCAUGUCUGACCAGAAAUAUCCAUUGAUAUUCGCAAACAUAAGCCCCAGCUACCUUCCAAUGUUUAUUCCAUAAUUGAAUAUAAAGGUCAACUCCCGACCCAAAAGUUAAACCGCCAAAGGCUAUCUCUAGCACAUUCGGUUAUACAGCUCCCCAACCGUUCCAUCCAACAGAGUUAUCUCAACCAAUCACAUUGCACACACAGUUACUAAGUUUGCUUUACCCCGAGCGAAUAUUACAACCGAUAUGUAGUCACACAUCAUCUCCGUCCUCUAUCGUCUACCACUUAGUAAUUCCAUGCGUGUUGUGCUCUUUCCCAAGCCCAACUAACCAACCCAUUCAGCUCUAAAACAUCAAGUGGAAACCAUAACUACUCAAAAUGAAAUCCAUCUGACUAUCCGAAAUCCCAACCUACCUAUCAUUUUGUAACACCCAAAGUUUUAAAGGCCAAGAAAGGAAAGAAAACCCUAAUUUUUAGGGGCGACUCGGCGAGUCCAAGGAGGAACUCGGCGAGUCCGAGCGGGAUCCGAGUCGAGGAGUAAGUGACCAACUCGGUAAGUCGGCCAAGUGGACUCGGCGAGUCUGGUCUAUGCGAGGAAAAACCUAAAUCUGGGACUUUGGGCGCUAUUUAAGCUCCUUAUUCUCUCCAUUAGGGUUCCUGAGAGCCUCCCUCAUUCAGAAAGCGAACCCUAAGCCUCCAUUGUUGUGCAUUCAAGCUUCCAAGCCAUUUUUGGGUGAAUUGAAGGAAGAAGAAAGAGGGGAAUCGGUGAAGCUUCAAGGAUUGGCUUCAGAUCUGGAGUUUGUGGAGCCUUUCUGAGAUAUUGAAGGUAAUAAGUCGUUUCUCUCCUUUAGAUCUUCCAUGGUGGUGAGAUUUGGGACUUUCAAGCCAUGGUUUGUCACCCAUUUGAGUUAGAAGCCGGAUCUGGAGUUGCUACUUCAGAUCCAAGUGUGUUAUGGACUGGAGAAGCAUAAAGUAUCAGCCCUUGAGUCAAUUUUGAAGCCCCUUGGCCUUAAACCUAAUUUAUGGUGUAUUUUGCCUAGAUCUCCAUCUCUACACGUAAAGGUUGCAACUUUACGUGAGGAAUAGGCUUGGGAAGGGUAGAUCUACAGAUUUUAGUCCCUGCAUGACUCAAAAGUCCUAUGCAUGUAUGAAGGACCGGAUGGACUCGGCGAGUCCUUUGAGUGGACUCGGCGAGUAGCUUGAAGAUGAGGAGGAACUCAACGAGUGGGAUGAACAGCUCGUCGAGUCGGAUGAAGUUGGGCUUGAACUCGGCGAGUUGGAAGAACAACUCGGCGAGUUGGAUGAAGAUUGUCUUGGACUCGGCGAGUCUGUUCUUGGACUCGGCGAGGCAGGUCGCGAAACCCCAAACCCUUCGAGUUGAGACUCGAAACAGUGAGUCGAAUGGAGACUCGGUGAGUUGGACAGGUCAGGACUCGGUAAUCGGUAGACUCGGCGAGUCAUGGACUGACUCGGCGAGUCNGUAGGGUUGACCUGGAAGGUUGACUUUGACCAGGACUUUGACUUUGACCUGAGUUGACUUAGUUGACUUUCGGGAGAUAGUUAGACUAAGUGUUGCAUUGAUAUUGGUAGCUCGGGGAGCUAGUGGAGCAGGAGUUCAGAGAGUUGUCGGUCAGCAGCCAGAGGAUUAUCAGCAGAGUUCAGCAGUGCGAGGUGAGUCUCCUCACUGUUUGUAUGGGUCUAAGGCACCAAUGCCGGCCCAUUUAGAAUAUGCAUGAAAGACCAGGGGGUGGCUCCUGGCACACUGUAUGUUAUUAUGGAUGAUGGGAAGACCCGGGGGUUAGACCUGGGCAAUAUGCAUGAAAGACCAGGAGGUGGCUCCUGGCACACAGUAUGUUAUUAUGGAUGAUAGGAAGAUCGGGGGUUAGCCCUAGGCAAUAUGUAUGAAAGACCAGGAGGUGGCUCAUGGCACAUUGUAUGCCAUUAUAUAUGAAAGACCAGGAGGUGGCUUCUGGCACACUGUAUGUUGUUUAGCUAAGUAGAGUAGUAUGUACGGUUGUCUUUGUGAUACUUGCAUAAAAGACCAGGGGGUGGCCCUUGGCACAUGUCUGUAAGACCAGGGGUGGCCCUUGGCACUUGUCUGUAAGACCCAGGGAGCGGCCCAGGCUUGACCCGGAAGACGACGCGCGGCCCGUGGCAUAAUGGCAAAACUAUGUUUGGCACAUAGCACCUUACUUGAUUAUGGAUAAGUCGGUUAUGUAUGGUUCUUGGCUAUGAAUGGUUUGCAUGGUAUGUGGUAUCUGGGGGACUCACUAAGCUUCGUGCUUAUGGUUUUCAGUUUUGGUUUCAGGUACUUCCGGUAGCGGAUGAUGGAGCUCGGGAUGAUCGCAUGGCACACACCAUAGAUUAGUCAGCCUGGGAACGUUUUACUCUGAUAAUGAACAUGUGUUUUGAAAACUAAUACUCUGUUUAUGUUUUGAAAUGAUGAUUUUACAUUAAUUAAUAUUUUAUUAAAAGAGAUUUUUAGUCUUGAAUUUUGGGACGUUACACAUUUACACAGAUAGAGCCAAACUCAAACACAAGAGUCUGGUACGGUAGAAAAAUUGGGACCACUAAUAUCCAAUCUGAUAGUCAAAUCAUGACCCGUGAUCCACGAAUCUACGCAUGCAUUACACCUCAAUCCUUCCGAUUUACGACAACCCCUCCCUAACUCAAUACAUAUCGGUUCUCGACCAUCACUGAGACCCCAGUCUCGCCCGUGGUCCGACCACCAGGUUCCCAAAGACUCAAUUGACAAGGCUUCCCAAGCCUAAUAAUCCCUAUGCGUCACACUCUGAAUAGUGAAUGCUACGGGUCCCUGCAGUCUUACAACACUCUCAUACUGACUAAUGAGUGUUACGGCUCCCCGCAGUCUUACAUCACUCUCUCACUGACUAAUGAAUGUUACGACUCCCCGCAGUCUUACAAGACAUCCCUCACUAACUAAUGAGUGUUACAGCUCUCUACAGUCUUACAACACUUCUCUCACUGACUAAUGAGUACUACGGCUCCUCACAGUCUUACAACACUUCUCUCACUCGUCAUGGGCUCACCCCAUGGUUUUCCCUGAUAGUCCUAAGUGAUUACUCCCACCUGGUUCCAUCCAUUCUCGUAUCACCACACAAUAUCAUCAUCAAGCCAUCACCAUACUAAGUUUACUAAACUCAUGCACCGCGACCCAUCAUAGAUAGGUGUGCACACCCACCCAGAUUAAGCUUCACUACUCCUGACAACAAUUAAUUGAUGGUUUCACUACUGGAAAUAUAGUCGCUUGAUGCUCCACUUGUCGUAUGACAAACCCAAGUCUCAUAAUAAUCCAACAAUUUAGGGCAUCAUACUCGGAUACCUCGAUACACCAUCAUAGAAUUUCAUGAUAACUUGCCACGACCACGACCUUCCACUUACACAACUUAAAACCUUGAAGUACUCUGACUCAUAAUUAGAAGCACGGAGGAAUUGUCAAUGACUGAGAAUGCGUUGACGACAAUCCAAAACCCCAUCCUUUAUUGAUCAAAACCCAUGCAAUACUACUCAUACCGACUCUGAAGUUGAUUGACAAAUCAACUGUUGCCCCUCUUGGAGUAUAGAUAGCAAUCUAUAUGUCAAGCUAUCAAAUCUCUUUGCCAUCGAAGCUUGGCCUUAACGAAUAACGACCCAACCUCCUCGAAUCUCGAGCAUUGGCGAACCCGAAGGAAACACUGACCACGAUAAGAUUCCUGACCAACGGCUACCUGCCGCGAAGACAUUCAUUCUUUCCUGAGCACAUAUAACAUGCAUCAUCUCGCUCUGCACCAUGCCUUGAAUAUCUCCAAACCCAAGUCUCAUAUACCCGAGCUGCAGAUCCCUUACAUCCUAAUCUUUUAAAGUCGCAACUUACACAGAUUUACAAUCGUCCACUGAUUACCCAGUUCUCCCCUACAUAGGGUUCGAACCAUCACCAGUUGGCAUACCAAAUAGACCACGCUACAAACUGGCUCCCCAGCUACACCAUACCUGAAUCUUGGAGCGUAACUUCCAACACCCGAUGACCUUCUGGAUAAAGUCCAAUCCACUCCAAGUAUUCUGAAGCUCAGAUGGAGACUCCGGAAACUCCCCAAUAUGACUAUCUCCAAUCACCAAGAAUCUCAUACUGACACGCCACCGGACAUUUCGACUGUCCCGAAUUAGUUCCGACUCUUUAUAUGGAAAUAUUGGACUAUCACACACACAUCGUCUCUAAAUCCUCAACCAACAUUCCAUCGCAUGAGGUACCACCAGUCAUUUACUACCACUAUCAACUGCCAAAUGGAGAUUUACAUUUUGGUCUUAGAGCUUUAGGGAAUGAUGUUGAUGUACUUAGUCUUGCACAGUACAUUGAACAUCAUAAGAUCAUCAAGAUAUACACUGAAUAUAAUGAAAAUAAGUUACUUACAUACUUUAUGUCUCCAACAGUUAAACCUAGGGUCAUAAUUGAGGAAAUAGCAGAUGAUGUACCCUUACCAAAAUCAAAUUCAGCAAUGGUUGAUUUGCAUCCAGUAAACCAAAACCAGGAAAAGGUCCUAAAUCUUGAAUUGUGUUUGGUAAGGCAUGAGACACCAAUAUACAAUAAGAAUAGGAUAUUGUAGUUAGUUGAAAGGAGUCAAUCAUGGAGUAAGAAAUUGUGUUUCAACUUGGAACACAUUGCAACUAUUGGUGAUCAAGAUGCACAUGUUGAAAUUGGUAAUAAAGGUGCAACUAUUGGUGAUCAAGAUACAGUUGUUCAUGAUCAAGAUACAGAAGUUUAUGAUCAAGGCACAGAAGUUCAUGAUCAAGGUGCAGAAGUUCAUGAUCAAGGUGCAACUCUUGGUGAUCAAGAAGUAAAUAUAGAAGUGCGUGAUACCUUUUAUGACCGGUCAUUUCAAUUUGAAGACUUUAAUCCUUUCUUUAAGCAAUAUACUUCUAAUGAACAUAAUGAUCAGAGUAUGGGAGUUGGUGCAGGACUUGGUGAAGUUCAAUUUGAAAGUGAAGGAGUUUUUGAAAGACUUGGUGAAGGGGGUGGUGAAGGGGGUAGUGGAGGGGUAGUGAAGGGAGUGAGGAAGAUAAUGACUUUAUUGAAGAUGAAGAAAAUUAUGUAAGUGAUGUUGAGGUGGACGUGAGUGAUUUCUAUAUGAAUGUUGAUAAUGAUGUUGAGUAUGUUGAUCGAGGAAGGGUAUUGAGGGUAUUAAUGAAGAGGUUGAUAUUGAAGAUAUUGAAGAUGUUGAAGAUGUUGAAGUAAUUGAUAAUGAUGAAUAGGACUCAUUAGGUGAAGAUACUGAUGAUGAGAGUAGGAAAUCAAUAUUAAAACAGUUGGUGAACGUGAAGAAGUGCUCUCUUGGUGAAGUUAAUGCAGUUACUUUUCAAGUGGGUCAAAAGUAUAAAAAUAAAAAGGAAAUUAAGGACAAAGUCAACAAACUUUCCAGUGAAACUAGAAGGAAUAUCGACUUCAAGAAAAAUGAAAAAAUGAGGCUUAGGGUUGUGUGUAAAGGUAAUGUACCUAAUGUAAAUGCAAGUGGGGUAGGUAAGGGUAAUAAAGUGAAUUGCUCUUGGUCAAUGCAUACUUCAAGGUCAAAAGAUAGUGAUCAUAGGUAUGUGAAAACUUUACUGGACAAACAUACAUGUGUUCAAACUAGAAAACUUAGGGCUUGCACUAUGAAGUAUAUACCCACGUAAAUCUUAGACAUGGUCGAGUCUAACCCUACAGUACCUCUUCGAAGCAUUCAAGACCAAGUUCAGAAGAGGCUUCAAGUUGGUGUGUCCAUACACAAAGUACAGAGGGAAAAAACAACAACUACAAAGCAAGUGACUGGUGACUACACAAAGCAAUACGAGGUGUUAAGAGAUUAUCUUAUGGAACUACAAGCAACUAAUAUGGAUACAAUUGUGAAGCUUGAGGUUGUUAAUGAGUCUAACAUUGCUAGAGAAACAAGGCAGUUUAAGAGGGUGUAAGUUUGCUUAGGGGAAUUAAAGAAAGGGUUUAAAGAAGGGUUAAGAGAUAUUCUCAGACUAGAUGGUGCUUUUAUGAAAGGACCGUUUUCGGGAGAAGUGCUCACUGCAGUUGGAUUGGAUUCAAAAAUAGCAUGUACCCACUGACAUAUGCCAUUGUUGAGACUAAAAAUUUGAGUUGCUGGAAAUGGUUUCUAGAAUUCUUAGGAGAUGACUUGGAGUUGUAUUCAAAUUCUAGCUUUACUUUCAUGAGUGAUAAACAAAAGGUAUUAUUUUCUUCUUUUUGUAUAACUAAUAGUUCAUUUGUAUAUGAAUAUUGGACGAAUUAUGUGGGAUAAUAUUUUUACAAGGACUCUUACCUGUUAUUGCACAACUAUACCCACAAGUUGAGCAUCAUUUCUGUCUAAGGCAUAUUUAUGAGAACAUGAGGAAAAAUGGAAAACAAAAGAGUAUAAAGAUCACUUAUGGCAGUGUGCAACAACAACCACGGUACCAGAAUUUGAACACUGCAUGAAUGAACUUAGCAAGUUUGAUAAGGAUGCUUUUGAAUGGUUGAAGAGAAUCCCCCCUCACCAUUGGGCCAGAAGCCACUUUUCAGGUUAUAUUCCCUACCUUAGGUUUUUCUUUAUUAGUGAUCAUUGUAUUUGACUUAUUUGAUAUAAUGUACUUGUUUGAUAUAGGUAAAGCAUGAUCAUAUAUAUUGCUCAACAAUUUGUGUGAGGUAUUCAACAAUAAGCUUAUUCAUGGUAGGAAUAAGCCAAUCAUAAGUUGUCUUGAGUACAUCAAGCAAUACCUUAUGAAAAGGAUCUGCAAUGUGAUGAAAGUGAUGUCCAAAGCUCCAGGUCCACUCACUCCAUCAUCAUCAAAGUUACUUGAGAGAAACAAGGAAUCUUCAGUCCAAUAUAGGGCUAGAUGGAAUUGGACCGCAAAGUAUGAAGUUUAUGGUCCUUGGAUGACCAACAUGUGGUUGACAUGCAAAUAUGUCAUGUACAUGCAGAAGGUGGGAAUUGAAUGAGAUCCCAUGUCGACAUGCCAUAGCUAUAAUACAUGAAAUGGUUGAUAGUGGAGACAAAUUUGGGGAGCUUUACACUUAUGUCAACAAAGUGUAUUGGCUUCAAACUUGGAAGGAAGCUUACUCUUACAUCAUGGACCCUAUAAAGGGUAGAGCCAUGUGGCCAAAAAGUACCCAUCCAAUGAAAUUAACACCACCACCACCACAUUACAUUCAACCUUAGAGACCAAAUACCAAGAGAAAGAGAAGUACAGAUGAAAAGUAUGAUAAUCAGAAGCAUAAGCAUGGUGCAAGUGAACCUAAAAAACUUACCAUAAAGUUUGUCAGUGUCAAGUGUGAGAAACGCAACAAUAGGGGUCAUAACUCAAGGACUUGCAAGGGUGAAGGAGGGAAUGCAAGAAGCAGUCAAGGAGGGAAUGCAAAGAGUAGUCAAUGAGGGAAUGCAUGAAGUAGUCAAGGAAGGAAUGGAGGUGGCAGUCAAGGCAGGAAUUAGUGUAUUUUGUUUAAAAACCGAUCUUUUGGUUUAGCACCACUUUUGUGCAUUUGGAUGUAAUGGUUUAGAACUACUUUGUUGUCAAGGUUUUAUUUUGGUCUUUUAGCCCUUUUGGCUAUGAAUCUAAUGUCAACCUUUUGUGAUUGUUAAAGAAUGAUGUAAUGGUUUAUAACUACUUUGUUGUCAUGAUUAUGGUUUAGAACUACUUUGUGAUUGUUAAAGAAUGAUGUUUAUGGUUUAGAACCACUUUAUUGUCAUGUUUAUGGAACCACAUUUAAAGACUUUGAUGACUUUGUUAUGAAACAAAAAAUAAACAUUAACAUUAGGUGAUAACUAUAUUACAUUGUCAUUACAACCAUCAAAAGGGUACACAUUUCUGAAGUUGUCCAAAAUAACCCUAAAACGAUAUUACAAUAUCAAAUAGCAAAAAACUACCACAUUCCCCUGUUACAAUUUCAUAAUCCAAAAACACCCAAAAUUACAUGCACCAACAGGGGUCCCUAAUUCCAAAAUCUUAAAUGAAAAACACCCAAACCACCACAAAUAGUAACCAACGUGCAAACAAACACAUCAUCAGUCUUGCCACUUAAUAGUUUGCAUUGUUGAUAUUUCUCAAUAAUACGGGUAUUAUCAGCAUAGAUCUUGCACACAUUGGAGGAUCAUUCCAUCCUAAUCUGCAUCUGGAACCCUUCAAGUAAGAAAAAAGCUAAACAUAAGGGUGAUUUUCCAAAAUGAGGGUAAAAUACCAAAGAAACACAUCAUCAUUUGCCACCUACCUGUUGAGGACAAGAAAGAAACCUCCGACCAGGGUUGCUGAUGUCCAGGAGGUGCGAACCAUCACAACCCUACCACAAAAACACAUCACCAUUUGAAUUGUUGAUGUUGAAGAAGUUGCGAACACAGAGUAGGAAGAAUAUGAAGCUCAUGAAGGUUAAAGAUGGAAGAGUGAGGUAGCUCCUGUUUUUAUUUUGAAUAAGGUUGCAAAAAGGUCCCUGUAGGUGGAAAGACGAAAAUACCCUAGUCUUUAUUGCAACUAAGAACAUAAAUGGAUGGAAGUUAAUGUGAGGGAGCAAAAACAAUAGAUAUAUCCAAUUUUGGACCAUUGGUGCGCCAAGGUUUCGUUUCGGACCAAAAUCGCAUAAAUUUGCCAACCAUAGGGACCCAAUUUUGCAAUUUUGUCUUAAUUAGAAGACAAACUUGCAAAAAUGGUCCCCGUGAUUGGCAAAUGACAAAAUUGCAAGAAUGGUCCCUGUGGUUAGGUUGAAAUUGCCACUUUGGGCCAAACAGGUUUGGACUAGCACUUAUGGUCCAAAGGUUUUCAUUUUCUUGCCACUUUGAUCCACUUUACUUUAAACUUUUUUGUAAUGACGAUUUUGCCCUGGAUUUUGUUUUUUCAGUUUUUUAUUUAUUUAAAUACUUUUAUAAUUAAAAUAAAAAUAUAAAAAUACACAUCUCACUCUCUCUCUCUCUCCCUCUCUCUCAUUUCACACACAAGCACACAUAUCCACAUUUAAGAACACGAAGAACGUCCGAUACUCCCCUCCCAUCUCUAUCAAAGCAGAUCCUUCGGUCACCCCCGCCAAACCACCAAAAAUACCAAUUGAGCCCAUAAAAAUCGAGCCUUCACACAAUCACCAUCAUAUUCAUCUUCAACCACCACGAAAAAUCAUCACCAUCGAGAGCCCAUCAUCCCCAUCUUCCUUGUUCUUCCAUUUAUCUUUUGAUCAAACUGCAACUCAAAAAAUAUUAAGAAAGAAGAAGGUUGAAGAAUGAGGGGUUGUGAUUGAACAAAGAAUUGUCGCCUGCGAUCGAACAAAAAAGGAAAAAAAUAAAGGGUCACUUUACUCGUCCUCUUAAGUGUGACUUGCAGUUGAGUUUGAAGAAGGAAAGAAGGAGAUGCGGACGACAUCAAUGGAGGUGAUCGGAGCAAUCGGAUUCAGAUCUUCUGUAAGUUGAUGAUGACAGAGAAAGAUCUGGAAAUUGACACACACACUUAGUUCUGGAUUGGGGAAAAAGAUCAUCAAAGUCGAUUUCAUCUCCUCUCAGCAUCCCUCCCUCCCCUUCUGUUUGGAAUCUGGAUCUUGUUGUUUGUUUCGGUUCGAUUUUCACAUACAAAAAUCAAUUUAGAUUGUGGUGAAGGUCAGUUCAUCAGAUCCAAAAAAUGGUUUUAGGGUUCGAGUGUCAAACAUAAAAAUUGAUUCGGGUGGUGGUGAAGAUUAAAACAUGUUUGAUUUCCCACUUCUCCGAUAUCGAAUCAUUAACCACCAACAGAUGCAAACUCCGAUCUGGUUCCUGAUCUUGUUCCUACUUCUUCAUUCCUUAGAUUUCAUCGGAGCCACUACUUUGACUUUUUGGAAACUGUUUUCAGUUAUGUUAUUGAUUUUGUUUUAGUUUGCUCUCUGUUAACCCUUUCAACUUAUCUAUAAACCGAUAGUCGGUGGGGAAGAAUUUGGAGUUAAUCUUCACAAUUUAGUGCUCUUCAGUGGGUGAUGGUGCAAGAGAAUGAUGUCUACGAGAGAGAGAGAGAGAGAGAGAGAGAUGUGUGUGUAUUUUUUAUUUUUAUUUUAAUUAUAAAUGUAUUUAAAUAAAUAAAAAACUGAAAAAACAAAAUAUAAGGUCAAAAUUGUCAUUACAAAAAAGUUUAAAGUAAAGUGGAGCAAAGUGGCAAGAAAAUGAAAACUUUUGGACCAUAAGUGCUAGUCCAAACCUGUUUGGCCCAAAGUGGAAAUUUCGACCUAAACACAGGGACCAUUUGAAACAACCCAAAAAUACGACCCAAAAAUUUCAUUUUUCAAUAUAACCAAAAACCAUAAUCUGAGUGUCAUAUCAUAAAACCAUACGUGAUGUAUCCCAACAUAAUAAAAACAAUGUGCGGAAAACUGUAUCAUAUCUAUGUCAUAUCAAAAUCAAAAAGAAAACUAAAUCAACUCCCAGGAUAAAAGCUGAAGCUAUGGUGUGUGCGAUGCCAUCAUCCCGAGCUCUUCCCUCUGCUUGCGGAAGUACCUGAAACCAAAACUGAAACUGUAAGCACGAAGCUUAGUGAGCUCCCCCAAACUACCACAUACCAUACAAUACAUAUAUAAAGCACAUACUGGGCCUUGCCCACUGCAUCAGACCGAAGUCUGGAACUAGCUGCAUCGGACCGAAGUCCGGAACUGACUGGGACCUUGUCCCCUGCAUCGGACCAGAGUCCGGAACUAACUGCAUCGGACCGAAGUCCGGAACUGACUGCAUCGGACCAAAGUCCGGAACUAACUGCAUCGGACCGAAGUCCGGAACUGACUGCAUCAGACCAAAGUCUGGAACUGACUGAUCAUGGCAUAGCAUAAAACAUAACAACUAUUAUAAACACAUAUACUGCAUACUGCAUCGGAACAGAGUCCGGAACACAUAACACAAACAUGUUUGUAUCACAAAGACAUCAAGCACUCUAACUACUGCAUCAGACCAAAGUCCAGAACUAACUGAUAAUUAAACGGGUCGGCAUUGUGGCCGUAGACCCAUUCCUACUGAAAAGAAACUCACCUCGUGAACUGGCUGCUGAGUGUAUGGCUCUGGAAGCUAACUGCUGCUGCUCCGGUAUCUCCCCGGCUACAAGUCCAUAAACACACUCAAUCAAAUACUAAACACUGCACUGGGUAAAAUGACUCUUUUACCCUUGGUCAAAGUCAACUCUCGGUCAAGGUCAACUCUCGGUCAAAGUCAACUCUCGGUCAAAGUCAACUCUAGGUCAAAGUCAACCCACAGUUGACCUGACUCGCCAAGUUGGGCCGCCAACUCGCCGAGUCUCUAACCUCACUUCUCAAUCCUACUCGUGGCUACUCGUCGAGUAUGACAUCGACUCGACGAGUACCCUCUCGAACCAAGAACUCAGACAAUCUUCAUCCGACUCGCCGAGUCAUAUGAACAACUCGACGAGUUGUUCUUGAGCUUAAGAAGAUUGCCUUGGACUCGCCGAGUUGUAUGAACAACUCGCCGAGUCCCUUCAUCACUGAGUCUACCCUCGAACUCACUGAGUCCACUCCACAACUCACUGGGCCCACUCGACAUCGCUCAAAAGGAAGAAAUCGGGGACUCGCGACUCGACUCGCCGAGUCGUUCUUCCGACUCGCCGAGUCACCGCCAUGCAACUAUUCUACACUCGAUUCUGCUCGAAUCCAAUACAUACAAAUGAUAGAUCUGAGUCCAAUAAGCUGAUUUACCACGUAAAGUUUCCAACUUUACGUGUACAAACACAUGAACAAGGGAAUAAAGGCUAAAAAGGCACCUAAAAGGGUAGAUCUAGGGUUAUGAUGCAAAAUAGCUCCAUAAAGGCAAUAGAUCUGGGCUCUACAACUCCUAAAUGAACAGAUCUAAAGAUAUCUCGACAUAAUAGGGCUUCCAUAUCAACAUAAGGCUUGAGAAAAGCAUCAACUAGAUCUAGAGGGGGUUUUAAAGCAUAAAAGGGAAGGAAAUCUGAAGAAUACCUCAAAGAGCUCUUGCUUUCCCUUGAAUCUCUGCUCUACAAUCCUUCUCCUUGCUCCUUUCUUCUUCUCCUUCUUCAAGCCUUCACAAUUGCACACAAAAUCACUUAGAAUCACUCAAGAACGAAUUAGGGUUUUCUCACAGCUUUUGAGGGUGAAGGAGGCGAGAAUGGAGGCCAUAAGGUGGCUUAAAUAGUGGGCAACCCGGGGAUUUAGGGUUUCUCCCAGACGGACAGACUCGCCGAGUCGCCAGCUAACACGCGCUCGAAAUCUCGUCCCUACUCGGCGAGUCAGGCUAUGAACUCGCCGAGUCCCUCUUGCAAAACUUCAAAAUAAAUACCAAGGAAUCAUCAUACCGGAAACGGGUCGUUACACCAUUCUUGCAAUUUUGUCUUGGCAAAUUUAUGUGCCUUUGGUCCAAAAUGAAAUGUUAGUGCACCACUGGUCCGAAAUUGGAUCUUUCUUUUGUUUUUGGUCCCUAUAGUAGACAUUUUUGUGUGGUUUUGGUCCAUACCCAACUUGAAAUGAUGAAUUUGUCAUUCAAUAAUUAUUUUUUUUAAAUUUAUUUUUAAUUAUUUUGUAUAUAUUUAAUUAAAAACAAAAAAAGAAAAAAUUAUACCCUGUCCACCCCUCCUCCUUCUAACCUACCCACCGAUAUUUACUCAAUGCCUCUAUUUCUCUAUCUUUAUCUUUGUCGGACCACCAACAUCAUAGGACCACCGUCGCCGCCUGCCUGACACCACCACUUCUUGGACACCACCACCUAUUGGACACCACCUACCUACCCAUAUUUACAUCAUCAACGUUAACCUUCGUCUCCAAAAACCACCAUCGACGACAUUAUUCUUUGUUCAUCAGUGGAUCCGAUCUACAAAAAAUAAUGAAUGGUUUCAGAAACCACUACCACCGACGCGAUCCUUUUUCCUUUGUGGGUGUCGUUGUUAUUCUGGUAAGACCUCCACUAUCCCCAUCAUUAACAUUCCCUUCACCUUACUGUACUUCUAGUCUCGACCAAAAAUCGUUCACCACCACUCAUCGAUACUUUCAACCUGGAUUGAGGUUGAGAAGGAGAUGCAGGUUUUGAUCAAUGAAUGAAAAAUAAGGAAAAAGAUUAUGAAGAUUUCAAUUUCUAGGGAUCUAGGUUUAAAAUCCCUCGUCGUCGGAAACCUACAUCUAGAUCUAAAGUCUUCACCGAAGUUUGAAUUUAUGUCUUGACCCGAUUUGUUAUUAUUUGUGACAUCCCCAAUUUCACGGCCAGAAAAGACCGAUUUGUUUAUGCUUUGUUUUAUAAAUCAGAGUAAUCGUUUUAAGAAAACGGUUGCAGAAUUUAUUCCCAAAACAAGAUAUGAUAAAAACUUAUCAAAACAUUUCUCAAAGAGAAUGUAUUUUCAUUAAAUAAUAAAACAUCGGGAUGUCAUGUUUCAAUAGAGACACAUAAGCAUAAACAGAACAUACAUUCAUUUACUCUAGUGAUUUACAUCUCCUUUAAUCUCUCAGUGCAAAGCAGCUUCGUAUCGAUACCUGUGAUACAAUUAAACUGAGUGGGUCAGGCUUGGGAGCCUGGUGAGCAUAUAGGGUUUUUAACCCACAAUAAUAUAAUUAUUAUAUUCAAUCAUCAAACAAUCAACCCAAUUACCCAUCUCCGUAAUCUCCAUUUAUUUCUUAAGUAACUUCCCUAAGGAAUUAUCCUAAGGGUCAACUCCUACAUCGUAUUUACCUCUCAUCUCCUUACAUCGCAUUUACUUUAUAUAUAUUUGUUCCUAAAGCACGAAUAUGCAGUCACAACAUCGCCUGGACUCGUAACUCAUAGUAAGGGUUAGGUUAUCAUCGCAUGAAUACGUAGUCACAACAUCGCCUAGACUUGUAAUUCAUUGUAAGGGUUAGGCUAUCAUCGCAUGAAUACGUAGUCACAACAUCGCUUGGACUCGUAAUUCAUUGUAAGGGUUAGAGUAUCACCGCAUGAAUACGUAGUCACAACAUCGCCUGGACUCGUAAUUCGUUGUAAGGGUUAGAGUAUCAUCGCAUGAAUACGUAGUUACAACAUCGCCUGAACUCGUAAUUCAUCACCUACAGGUUAUGGGCCUGCUGGUGUUUCCACGGGGUCAUCUAGAAUAGUCCGUGGUCGCCAUCUAUACUCUGGUAGACGACUAUAUCGCCAAAUUUCCACAUCGCCGUUCAAGGUUAUGGUAUCUCCUCUCAUCUCACAUCACCUAUUUAUCAUCACCUAUCUAUCAUCACCUAAUUAUCAUCACCUUUCUAUCAUCACCUAAUUAUCAUCACCUAUUUCUCAUCACCUAAUUAUCAUCACACAUCAUCUAAUUCAUCUACCCAUGUUCUACCCAACAUAUUUAUAGAUAUAAAAUACAUAUACAGAUUAACUCCUUUAACACCUAUAUAAAACAUCCAUUCCACACUCAUCUCAAAUAAACAACAAUAUAUAAACAUAUAACACGUAUUUUAUAGCAAAUACUUUAUAUUUACGUGUUAGAAGAGAGUGACUACACACUCAUCCAAAACUUUUACUUAAUACAUUCAAACAAUACAUGUAUUAAAAUCGUGUUUAUGAAAGGGACUAUACACUCACAUGAUUAGAUGAUUCUUGGACAACACUACGGCUCUAAAAACAGUAUCCUUCGGUAAAACUGGAAGAUUUUCACACACCGGGCUUCUCGCAGACAGAGUUUCGGCGAGAAAACUCUUUUCUUCUUGGGAUCUUCGGGCUUCGGGACUUGCUUCGGGUCUCGGGAUGAUAUCGGGGCUUUGGGGGUACUUCUUUGCAUGUAAAUNNNNNNNNNNNNNNNNNNNNNNNNNNNNNNNNNNNNNNNNNNNNNNNNNNNNNNNNNNNNNNNNNNNNNNNNNNNNNNNNNNNNNNNNNNNNNNNNNNNNNNNNNNNNNNNNNNNNNUAUAUAUAUAUAUAUAUAUAUAUAUAUAUAUAUAUAUGUUAGAAGAAAGUGAUCACAUACUCACCAAAAACAUAUACUUAAUACAUUCACAAAAUACUUGUAUUAAAAUCGUGUUAUGAAAGGGACUAUACACUCACUUGAUCAGAAGAUGAGCGGACAACACUACGUCUCUAGGAGUAGUAUUCUUCAGUGAAACCGAGAUCACUUCACACACCAGGUUUCUCACGGACAGAGCUUCGGCUCGGAAACUCUUUUCUUCUCGGGAUCUUCGGGCUUCGGGACUUGCUUCGGGUCUCGGGGUUGAUACCAGGGCUUUGGGGGUACUUCUUUGCACGUAAAUCGAUGCAAUACAGGUGAGAGAUGAGAGAAUGAGCAACCAAACUCGGUUGGCCCUUGAUUUCUAUUUAUAGGGCAAAUUUCUCAUUUUCCACGUCAUGGGCACUAUUUCCACGUCGUGGGUUUGAUCGUCACUGCAUGCGUCAUCGCAAGUUGCGUCUGGGGGACUCCAGGAGGUGUCAGAAGACUUCCCACAUCGUGGCACUGCUUUCCACGUUGUGGUAUCUAACAGUUCUGGGGUUUCGCGCCCCGAACUUCAGAUAUUCAUAACUUUCGCAUACAAACUCCGUUUUCAACGUUCUUUAUAUAGACGCGUAGGUAAAAACAAUAUCUACAACUUUCAUUUAGACUCCGUCGGCUAAUUUUGAAUUUAUUUUUAUUAUAUUAUUUUUAGUAGGCCGGGACUCCGUUAUAAACUCAUAACUCCUUCGUCUGACGUCCGUUUUCGUCUGUCUUUCUGUCGUUGCACUAUUAUUGAUGAUAUAUUCAAUUCUCAUUUAGAUUGUUUUGGCUAAAUAUCGCUCUAACGUAAAUUCACUAUUUACGUCGCGUUGUGUCGUGUCGGUUCUUUCGCGAAACUUCGAUAGGUCAUAACUUCUUCGUUAUAACUCGGAUUUCGGCGUUCUUUAUAUGUACGGAAUCCUUGUAACAUAUACUAUAACUUAGUUAAGAUUAAUCAUUCUAAAUAAUCUUCCAUGAAAAAGUCAUUUUUGAUGCUUAUCGUCUCUAAAAUAACUAGCCCGGAUCUACGGGCGUUACAUUACUAGAUUAGGUGUUUAAGCCCAUAACUAUAAUUGGUAUGUACUUGAUUUGAUAGUAGCAUGGUCCUUUUACGUUGCCUUCACUCAUGCAACUUGACAGGAUGACUAAUGGAGAGAGAGUAGAAUUUAUUAUGUGAAAUAAUAAAUUGGUACUCAAAAUUGGUUUUAUUAAUAUAUUAUUUGUAGAUCAUAUUAUUAAUUAGUAAUUAAUCAGAAACUAAUUUGGUAUUAAUAUUGGGAUUAAAGGAACUGAUUAAUAAUGGAUGGGCUGUUUUGCAAAUCAUUGAUUGUUGCAGAACUGGGCUAUUGGACUCCUUAAUUAGGAGUGAAUGAAAUCCUAUAGGGAGGCUCUAUAGAUUUCAUCCAAGGCCUCAUAAGGAGGAGUCAAUAGGCUGCUUAAGCCUUAAGCAGG